rnacentral:tRNA from 1 species
UCUGCGAUAGCUGAGCUGGUAGAGCAUCAUCCAGUGUGCGGAAUGUCGCAGGUCCGAUUCCUGCUCGCAGAG